ensembl:misc_RNA Vault Vault RNA
GGGCUGGCUUUAGCUCAGUGGUUCCUUUGAUCAGUCCUGCUUAAUCACUUGGGCCAGUGGCUUCCAUUGGUCGGGUGGUUCGACCUGCGGGUGCUCUCCAGUCCUUUA